rnacentral:rRNA from 1 species
GGUCAAGUUAUUAAGGGUGCAGGGCGGAUGCCUUGGCACUAGGAGCCGAUGAAGGACGUGAUAAGCUGCGAUAAGCUUCGGGGAGUUGCACGUAAACUUUGAUCCGAAGAUUUCCGAAUGAGGAAACUCACUUAGAGUAAUGUCUAAGUAUCAUUAAGUGAAUACAUAGCUUAAUGAGGGGAACUCAGGGAACUGAAACAUCUAAGUACCUGAAGGAAGAGAAAGAAAUUCGAUUCCGUAAGUAGCGGCGAGCGAACGCGGAUUAGCCCAAACCAAUAAAGUUUUCUUUAUUGGGGUUGCGGACAUAUCAUAACGAAGAGGUAUCGUAAUUGAAGAGGUUUGGAAAGACCCACCACAGAAGGUAAUAGUCCUGUAUGUUAAACGAGAAGACUUUAGAUAUGAUCCAGAGUACCACGGGACACGUGAAACCCUGUGGGAAGCAGGAGGGACCACCCUCCAAGGCUAAAUACUACCUAGUGACCGAUAGCGUAUAGUACCGUGAGGGAAAGGUGAAAAGAACCCCGGGAGGGGAGUGAAAUAGAACCUGAAACCCUGCACUUACAAGCUGUGGAAGCACAUUUCUUGUGUGACCGCGUACUUUUUGUAGAACGGGCCAACGAGUUACGUUAAGUAGCAAGGUUAAGCACUUAAGGUGCGGAGCCGUAGCGAAAGCGAGUUUUAACUGAGCGUUCAGUUACUUGACGUAGACCCGAAACCGGGCGACCUACCCAUGAGCAGGAUGAAGCGAAAGUAAAAUUUCGUGGAGGUCCGAACCCACGAGCGUUGAAAAGCUCGGGGAUGACUUGUGGGUAGCGGUGAAAUUCCAAUCGAGCCCGGAGAUAGCUGGUUCUCCCCGAAAUAGCUUUAGGGCUAGCCUCAAGGUGAGAGAUACGGAGGUAGAGCACUGAAUGUCCUAGGGGGUAUUGCACCUACCGAAGACUAUCAAACUCCGAAUGCCGUCAUCUUAUACUUGGGAGUCAGACUGUGGGUGAUAAGAUUCAUAGUCGAAAGGGCAACAGCCCAGAUCGUCAGCUAAGGUCCCUAAAUGUAAGUUAAGUGGUAAAGGAUGUGGGAUUGCACAGACAACCAGGAUGUUGGCUUAGAAGCAGCCACUCAUUCAAAGAGUGCGUAAUAGCUCACUGGUCGAGUGAUCCUGCGCCGAAGAUUUCCGGGGCUAAAACUUACUACCGAAGCUACGGCAUCAGUAAUGAUGGGUAGGGGAGCUUCCCAUACAGGUUGAAGCAUGACCGUAAGGACAUGUGGACAGUAUGGGAGUGAGAAUGUUGGCAUGAGUAGCGAGAUGUGGGUGAGAAUCCCACAGGCCGUAAACCCAAGGUUUCCAGGGGAAGGUUCGUCCGCCCUGGGUUAGUCGGGACCUAAGCUGAGGCCGAAAGGCGUAGGUGAUGGACAACAGGUUGAUAUUCCUGUACUACCGAUAACCGUUUGAGAGAAGGGAUGACACAGUAGGAUAAGCUAAGCACACUGUUGGUUAUGUGUGCCCAAGCAUUGAGGCAGUCAAAGUAGGCAAAUCCGCUUUGAUAAUGCUGGGAUGUGAUGGGGAGCGAAAUUUAGUAGCGAAGUAGCUGAUUUCACACUGUCAAGAAAAGUCUCUAUCGAGGUUAAAGGUACCCGUACCGCAAACCGACACAGGUGGGUGAGGAGAGUAUCCUAAGGCCAGCGAGAGAACUGUUGUUAAGGAACUCGGCAAAAUGACCCCGUAACUUAGGGAUAAGGGGUGCCACCAUCAGGUGGCCGCAGAGAAUAGGCCCAAGCGACUGUUUACCAAAAACAUAGGUUUCUGCUAAGUCGCAAGACGAUGUAUAGGAGCUGACGCCUGCCCGGUGCUGGAAGGUUAAGGGGAUCUGUUAGAGCAAUCGAAGCAGUGAACUUAAGCCCCAGUAAACGGCGGCCGUAACUAUAACGGUCCUAAGGUAGCGAAAUUCCUUGUCGGGUAAGUUCCGACCCGCACGAAAGGCGUAACGAUUUGGGCACUGUCUCAACAACAGACUCGGUGAAAUUGUAAUUCCGGUGAAGAUGCCGGAUACCUGCGACAGGACGGAAAGACCCCAUGGAGCUUUACUGUAGCUUGACAUUGGGUCUUGGUACUACAUGUACAGGAUAGGUGGGAGGCUUUGAAACCAGGACGCCAGUUUUGGCGGAGCCAUCCUUGGGAUACCACCCUUGUAGUACUGGGACUCUAACCAUAGGCCAUGAAUCUGGUCUUGGGACACUGUCAGGUGGGCAGUUUGACUGGGGCGGUCGCCUCCCAAAAGGUAACGGAGGCGCUCAAAGGUUCUCUCAGUACGGUCGGAAAUCGUACGUAGAGUGUAAAGGCAAAAGAGAGCUUGAUUGCAAGACAUACAGGUCGAGCAAGGAUGAAAAUCGGACUUAGUGAUCCGGUGGUUCUGCGUGGAAGGGCCAUCGCUCAACGGAUAAAAGCUACCCUGGGGAUAACAGGCUUAUCUCCCCCAAGAGUCCACAUCGACGGGGAGGUUUGGCACCUCGAUGUCGGCUCAUCACAUCCUGGGGCUGUAGUAGGUCCCAAGGGUUGGGCUGUUCGCCCAUUAAAGUGGUACGCGAGCUGGGUUCAGAACGUCGUGAGACAGUUCGGUCCCUAUCCGUCGCAGGCGUAGGAAAUUUGAGAAGACCUGUCCUUAGUACGAGAGGACCGGGAUGGACG